rnacentral:lncRNA from 1 species
GCUCUUCGGACUCUCACAUUCUCUAGACCUUCCACUCUCUUCGCUAGACUUUUCGAGUCUCUACCGAUUCGGCCGAGCUGGCCUUCCUCGUUGCGACCCCAAGCCCAAAUCUCGCCGUUGGAGGUGACUGCGAGGGAGUGGUAGUGUCCGGCGGAUAUGAACGAGACGUCGGAAGGCAUAUCGGAAACUUGAGUUGGCUCGUAAGCGUCGAGGCCCAUUCCCGUGCCUGGUAGCCCCAAAGCGCCGUGGCUUCCAUCGCCGAAGCUCAUGACUUUGCUACUUCUCUCGCCAACAAUGGUCGUGAACCAUCGUCGUCUCCCGAAAUUGGAAAGUUUCGCGAUCGACCAUAGUCGCACCAUUUCACCUUUUGAGAAAUUGAAGCCAAAGGAGAAAGAAACAAAAGUAAUUUUGAAAUUUGAUUUAGUUAACAAAAAGAAAUAGUAUCUGUUCCAUAGUUGUGGGCCUUUUAUGUUCUCCAAAAGCCCAGCCCACUAAAUGUUAAUGUCUAACUUGGAUGAAUUUUGUGUGACGGCCGUAUAAGUGAAACAGUAAAUUUGAAUUUUGCUUCACUAUUUAGAAAACAAUAAUAUAACUUUGUGGUAUGGGCCCAUUGUGGCUCACUUGGAUGAGUUUAGUAUUAGUGUUUUUGCAAUCACAUCAUCUCCUCUCUUUUCAUAUAUACUCAAAUCUUUAUAUUAGUAGUACAAACGAGUGACAGAAUCAUCUUGAGUCUAACUGAGAAGUGAGAACUGUAUAACUCGAAUGAGGCAUGUAAUGAGUAAAGCUUGAUGAAGCAAAGGUUUUGGAAGUGAAGAACAUAGUUCCCGAGGUUGUCUCUAACGUUGUUGCGCAUCAAAUAGAGAGAAUCUUUGAUGAGAAAACAAGAAAAUGACUGAGAUUUCUCACAUUUUUGCUAGAGAUAAAGUAAGGAAACAGGGAAGAAUGAUUGUAAAUUUUCGUUCAUGGGAUUAUUCAAGAAGCGAAUGUAUUUCAAGAAGAGCUUAUUCUCGAACUUGCAAAAGCAGUGAGUUAGAUAUGGUUUGUGUAUUACUGGAGAUGAGAAGCGAAAGCUGACAUGACUUCCUUGUAGACUGGCUUCUUGAAAUCCACUGCCUGAAGUAAUCGGAAACAGAAGAAGAUGAGUGAAAAAGUAGUAGUAGAAUCUAAAAGCUGAAACUCUAACACAUAUAAAAGAAAAGAAAAAAACUGGACUCACAAGUUCAACGAGCUGAUCAGGAGACACCCAUGACCACUCCCCAAACUCGGGUUGCUCAGUUCCGUCACCAAGAAGAUUAAUUUCUUCGUCUUUCCCAGUAAAUUUCAGAAGAAACCUGAGGAUUUCCACACAGUAUUUGAUCAGUUCUAAACUCAAAAUCAAAAUGACAUGAGUCUGCGAUUAAAUACAGCCCCAAACCCAAGCUUCUCCUUUCUCUGUGACACACAAGGAAUGCACACGCCCUGCUGAUACAGAAGCUGGAGUUUCCUCAUCCAAACCCUCCACUUCUCUUGGCAGCUCUUCUGGCUUUCCCCUACCAAGCUGCUGGCUCCGGUUCCAACCCCAUGAUGAGACAACCCUCCUUGUGUUGGAGGAAUCUGACUCAACAUUGCAGAUAGCUAGAGAAUGACCAAGACCAGCUGCUACUGAAACCGGAGACCCGGUUAUAUCAACAGGUGACAUUCCUAGGUCCUGCUUAUUCCUACGACCCAGCUGACCAUACACAUUGCUCCCGGAGCUCAAAAGAGUACCAUCACGACAAAGGACUAAAGAAUGAUCAGACCCGCACGCAAUAUCUUCCACCUUCACACCACGCAACUCUUCCACCAAACGAGGCUCCCAAGCUAUAGGCAUGUUGCUCUCCUUCCUCAUAGCUUCCGCAACUUUCUUCUCAGCUGCCUCCUCACCAUACCCACUUGCAAGUGAAUCAAGAGGAGACGCCUCAAGAGGAAGUCCAACAUUCCCUACUCUCCCAUCAGCUACAUAACCCCACCCAAACACUUUACCAUCAGCACUAAGAGCAAGCACAUGCCCCCAACCUAAUGACACCUGUCAAAAACCGAACCUAAAUCAAAAAGAUUCCAUUUUUAAAACCCAAAACGUUGUUAAUUUCCUUUUUUUUUAAUCCAAACCUUAACGAUGUGUUCUUGACAUAAAGCUUCAACCUUUGAAGGAACCAGAGCUUCAACGAUACCUUUCCCAAGCCCAAGCUGUCCUCUUUUCGAUCUUCCCCAAACCCACAAAGACCCAUCAUCUCCAACCGCGGUUGAAACAACUCCAGACGCAAACGCUCUUCGGACUCUCACAUUCUCUAGACCUUCCACUCUCUUCGCUAGACUUUUCGAGUCUCUACCGAUUCGGCCGAGCUGGCCUUCCUCGUUGCGACCCCAAGCCCAAAUCUCGCCGUUGGAGGUGACUGCGAGGGAGUGGUAGUGUCCGGCGGAUAUGAACGAGACGUCGGAAGGCAUAUCGGAAACUUGAGUUGGCUCGUAAGCGUCGAGGCCCAUUCCCGUGCCUGGUAGCCCCAAAGCGCCGUG